AUUUCGGAAGCUCCUAAGUGCUGAAGUGAUUCAGAUUUCUAAAAAGUGGCAAAACAAGAGUGAGGGAGGGAAAAUUACGUGAAUUAUGACAGGAAUCUCUAUCCCCCUCCAUCCCCAGUGGAUGCUGACACCACAGGGAGAGCACUAUCUGGUGCUUCUCAGUGUGUCAUAGCUUUGCUGUAACAGGGUGUGUGAAAGAACCUAUCUGCAAUCAUGGAAGGUGCACUGCAGAGAGUGACCUCCAGCACCAAAUCACUGGGGAUUAAAAAGGAUCCCUCCUCAUUUCCUGGCCAAAGGGUGGCAUAAAUAGGUUUCUAACAAGUUUAUUUUAGCAAACACCUACACACAGUAUACACACACAACAAUACAGACACUCACAAAUAUCUCACACAACACCACAGACAGUCCCCCACACAUACAAAGCACAACAGAUCUACC